rnacentral:rRNA from 1 species
GACGAACGCUGGCGGCGUGCUUAACACAUGCAAGUCGAACGGAAAGGCCCUGCUUGCAGGGUACUCGAGUGGCGAACGGGUGAGUAACACGUGGGUGAUCUGCCCUGCACUUCGGGAUAAGCCUGGGAAACUGGGUCUAAUACCGGAUAGGAGCCAUUUUUAGUGUGAUGGUUGGAAAGUUUUUUUCGGUGUAGGAUGAGCUCGCGGCCUAUCAGCUUGUUGGUGGGGUAAUGGCCUACCAAGGCGGCGACGGGUAGCCGGCCUGAGAGGGUGGACGGCCACAUUGGGACUGAGGUACGGCCCAGACUCCUACGGGAGGCAACGGUGGGGAAUAUUGCACAAUGGGCGCACGCCUGAGGCAGCGACGCCGCGUGGGGGAUGACGGCCUUCGGGUUGUAAACUCCUUUCGCUGGGGACGAAGCUUUUUGUGACGGUACCUGGAUAAGAAGCACCGGCUAACUACGUG